UAAUAAUUUUAUUAUUAUUGUAUUUAUUUAUGGAUAGUUUAUUAGAAAUAACUCUUUAGUUUUAGUAUAUUUUAUUGAAAGAAUUUAUUUUAUUAUAGUUUAUAGUACUGUAAGGGAAUUAAUUUUAUUAAUUAUAAGUAGUUUUAUUUUAUUGUACCUUUUGUAUCAGGGUUGAUUAAUUUAUUAUAUUUAUAUAGAUUUCCCGAAGUUUGGGGAGAUAAGUUUUAUUGUUAGUUAAUGUUUCAUAAUUAUUUAUAAAUAAAGUUUAGAAGUGAUAUGCUAUUCGUUCCUUUAUAUCUGGUUUUUUAAUAUAUAAAUUUAAUUUAGGUUUAUUUAGGGUUAAUAUAAGUUAAUUAUAAUUCUUGUAUGUUAAUUAAUCUUAUAUUUUUGAGGAUAAGCUCGGGAAUAUUUCUAUAUUUUAUUUAUAAAAGGUUUUGUAGGCUUGGAAUCGGCCAUCAUAAAUAUCGUUAUAGAUUAAUCUUUCUUUGUUUUUAUUUUUAUGAUUAAUAUUAGGUUUUUAUUAAAAUGGAUUAUUUAAUUAAUAUUUGAUUUUAAUAAUGAUUGAAUUAGUAUGUAUGAUAAUUAAUUCAUAGGAAUUCAGCAAAUGGAAUAUUCGCUUGUUUAACAAAAACAUGUCCUUUUGUUAUUUAUUUAAGGUCUAACCUGCCCAAUGAUUUAUUUGAAUGGCCGCGGUAUUUUAACUGUGCUAAGGUAGCAUAAUAAUUUGUUUUUUAAUUGUAAACUAGAAUGAAAGGUUGGACGAGAUAUUGACUUUCUUUGAUUUAUUUAUUAAAUUUAAUUUUUAAGUGAAAAGGCUUAGAUAUUUUUAUUGGACGAGAAGACCCUAUAGAUCUUUAUAUUUGCUUGAAUUAUAAUGUUUAGUGAUUAAGGAUUAUUAAUUGAUGUAUUUAUUUUAUUGGGGUGAUUGCGGAAUAAAUAUAACUUCUGUUUUAUUUAAAGCAUAAAUUAGUGUUUUAUUGAUCCAAUAUUAUUGAUUAUAAGAUUAAGUUACCUUAGGGAUAACAGCGUAAUUCUUUCGGAGAGUUCAUAUUAAUGAAGGAGUUUGCGACCUCGAUGUUGGAUUAAAAUAAGUUUCAGGUGUAGCAGUUUGAUGACUAGGUCUGUUCGACCUUUUAAUUUUUACAUGAUCUGAGUUCAGACCGGCGUAAGCCAGGUCAGUUUCUAUCCUUAAAUAGAAUCCAUAUAUUAGUACGAAAGGACCAUAUAUGGGGGUUACUUCUUAAUUUUUGUUUAAUAUU
rnacentral:rRNA from 1 species